rnacentral:rRNA from 1 species
AACCAACUGGGAUUACCUUAGUAACGGCGAGUGAAGCGGUAAAAGCUCAAAUUUGAAAUCUGGUACUUUCAGUGCCCGAGUUGUAAUUUGUAGAAUUUGUCUUUGAUUAGGUCCUUGUCUAUGUUCCUUGGAACAGGACGUCAUAGAGGGUGAGAAUCCCGUUUGGCGAGGAUACCUUUUCUCUGUAAGACUUUUUCGAAGAGUCGAGUUGUUUGGGAAUGCAGCUCAAAGUGGGUGGUAAAUUCCAUCUAAAGCUAAAUAUUGGCGAGAGACCGAUAGCGAACAAGUACAGUGAUGGAAAGAUGAAAAGAACUUUGAAAAGAGAGUGAAAAAGUACGUGAAAUUGUUGAAAGGGAAGGGCAUUUGAUCAGACAUGGUGUUUUUGCAUGCACUCGCCUCUCGUGGGCUUGGGCCUCUCAAAAAUUUCACUGGGCCAACAUCAAUUCUGGCAGCAGGAUAAAUCAUUAAGAAUGUAGCUACUUCGGUAGUGUUAUAGCUUUUUGGAAUACUGUUAGCCGGGUA